AAUUUGAUUUAUUAGUGUAGCUUGCAUAUAUAUAACAGACCUUACAUGAGCAAACGUGCAUCAGAAGUGUACUUUUCAUAUUCUCAAUAGGAGUUAAAGUGGCUUUUGUUUAACACUGACAUUACCAAAUCUAAUUCCUCAUGGCGAUUAUAGAUUUUGGUGCACAUUUAACAAUUCAGUCGAGAUUUGUUUAAUAAAAGGAAGUUUAAAUAAAUAAUAAAAUAUCAAUUAGAGAACAAAAUCUCAUAAACCACCAAACCUCUCCAGAACAUCAGG
rnacentral:misc_RNA from 1 species